GACGUCACGCCGGUGCCCGCCCGGUGCCCGUGUGGCGGCGGUUGCGGCGGUACCGGCGCUGAGGGAGCGGCUCGGCCCGGGGCCUCCAACGGCCGCGCGUGCGCCCGCCCGCGCCGGCGCCCAAUCAGCGCCCGUCGCGCGGGGGCUGCCGGGAAGCACCGGGGAGACGCGGCAACCGCGGCGGGAGGCGCUGGAGGGACUACAGCUCCCGGCGUGCUCCGCGAGAGAGCGCCCACAGAAACUACAGCUCCCGGCAUGCUCAGCGCGGAGGUCGCCAUAGAAACUACAGCCCCAGGCCUGGGCUGUAGGCUUGGGAAGGAAAUGAGGAGGAAGAACGGGGAAAGAAAUUGUUUCCUACAGCUACCGCCAUGCCUCGGAAGGUCCAGUGGACACUGAACUAAAAUCCUCAGAGUUCACUCAAGAAAACAACAAAUCUUGCAAGAUCCAUUCAAUUUUAAGAAGUUCUGAUCCAGCUUGGACAAAACAUCUCUUCUGCUUUAGGAAUCCCACAGUUCCCCAAGUUGUGCCUUUUGUAUCUCCCUGGAUUAGCAAACUUCAUUCAUAGCUCCAGGAAAAAAUAAUAAUAAUAAAAAAAAAUCAGUAUUUGCAUUUAAAACUUAAGGCUGAAACUGAACUGAACAACACCUUCCCAAUUUCCUGUGCAAAUAAAAACCCCUCAGGAGCUGGAAGAAAUUUGGACCCUCUUGGCUUCACUCAAGGGAAAAAAAAUCCUCCAGCUGUCACGAAGUUACAAAUCCAAGCUGCCACACUCAUAAACUGGAGGAUGAGAAGGUAUUUACCACUCAAAAGAAAGGAAAAACUGGGUUAAAGUUUGAUUUUGAAGGCUCAGCAGGGCACUCAAAUCCCUGUAAAGCCACUACAAGCUAUGGCAGGAAACUCUAAUUCCACAGUUGUUACUUUAACAGCUUCUGGAUGUUCCUGGAUCAGGAAUCCAACCCUGCCUCUUCCCAAUUUUCUGCAAGAAGCUUUUGCUUCCAACAUUUUAUUCAGCUGCUGAUUAAAGCCUGGGAGCUGAGUCACUGCAGGACUUGUGCUGCUGAGUCAGGGCGAGCUGAGCCUGCACUGUGAGACCUGACACGGCUCUUUUGAAGCCAAAACGCCCUUUCCCACAGGGAAUAUUCCACAGGGAAUCUUCCAAAGGUGGCUGGGACACACAGCCCGGCCAGGAGGGCUGACAGCUGCUCUUUGCAGUGGGGAAUUAUGCAAGUGUAAAUAAAUACACUUGAGGAACUUCAUCAGCACUAAUCUGUCAAUUAGUGCCUGCUGGGGGCAUUCCCAGCUCUUAAGUGACCUCCAAAGGCCCUUUCCAUCCAAGUUUUCACUGGGAUGGGAUGAAGUUGGUGAUUUAUAAUUUAAACUCCUCUAAAUUAGUCAUACUGCAACAAAAUAAAUGAAAUGAACUGCUGGAGUUCAUGGGGCAAACCUCAUUCCUCAUAUUUCUCCACUUCCCUGAAAUCCCAGAGGAUCCUCCCAUCUCUUCCUAACUUAAUUAACAUCUCCAGAGGAUUCUCCUAGGAAAAAAAAAUGUGUCCAGAACAACUUUAUUAAGUGGAUUGAAACCCUAGAAAAAGAAGACUAAAUCAUCUGUACUACUUAAAUAGAAAUCAAAUUAAUAAACACAUAAAAUGUGUAAAAAGACA